CAGGCCAGGACAAAAGGACCCACGCCGACCAAGGCAAAAAGCCCAUAAACUGAAGCCAAGGAAGACUGGAGCUGAACGACCCAUCAAUCUUCACUGGAACUCGAGGUCUCCUGUCCCCUCCUUGCACAACUUCACCGGUGAGCCUCUCUACUGCACCUCGCCUACCCAGCUGAAUUCCCCAAGACCUAACCCAACCCUGCACACCAGCCACGCCACGAGGGAGAUACACCGCUGCACUCCUUACUUUGCUGUACAAAGAAAAAGAAAGCACCCACCUGAGUGGGUUUUCACUG